rnacentral:rRNA from 1 species
GAUGAACGCUAGCUACAGGCUUAACACAUGCAAGUCGAGGGGAAACGACAUCGAAAGCUUGCUUUUGAUGGGCGUCGACCGGCGCACGGGUGAGUAACGCGUAUCCAACCUGCCCAUCACUUGGGAAUAACCUUGCGAAAGUAAGACUAAUACCCAAUGACAUCCCACGAAGACAUCUGAAUGGGAUUAAAGAUUUAUCGGUGAUGGAUGGGGAUGCGUCUGAUUAGCUUGUUGGCGGGGUAACGGCCCACCAAGCAACGAUCAGUAGGGGUUCUGAGAGGAAGGUCCCCCACAUUGGAACUGAGACACGGUCCAAACUCCUACGGGAGGCAGCAGUGAGGAAUAUUGGUCAAUGGGCGAGAGCCUGAACCAGCCAAGUAGCGUGCAGGAGGACGGCCCUAGGGGUUGUAAACUGCUUUUAGAAGGGAAUAAAGUGGGUCUCGUGAGACUUUUUGCAUGUACCUUAUGAAUAAGGACCGGCUAAUUCCGUG